UACGAAGGGUGCAAGCGUUACUCGGAAUUACUGGGCGUAAAGCGUGCGUAGGUGGUUCGUUAAGUCUGAUGUGAAAGCCCCGGGCUCAACCUGGGAAUUGCAUUGGAUACUGGCGGGCUAGAGUACGGUAGAGGGUGGCGGAAUUCCUGGUGUAGCAGUGAAAUGCGUAGAGAUCAGGAGGAACAUCCGUGGCGAAGGCGGCCACCUGGACCAGUACUGACACUGAGGCACGAAAGCGUGGGGAGCAAACAGGAUUAGAUACCCGUGUA
rnacentral:rRNA from 1 species